rnacentral:rRNA from 1 species
UACGUAGGGCGCAAGCGUUAUCCGGAAUUAUUGGGCGUAAAGAGCUCGUAGGCGGCUUGUCGCGUCGGUUGUGAAAGCCCGGGGCUUAACCCCGGGUCUGCAGUCGAUACGGGCAGGCUAGAGUUCGGUAGGGGAGAUCGGAAUUCCUGGUGUAGCGGUGAAAUGCGCAGAUAUCAGGAGGAACACCGGUGGCGAAGGCGGAUCUCUGGGCCGAUACUGACGCUGAGGAGCGAAAGCGUGGGGAGCGAACAGG